UACGUAGGGUGCAGGCGUUAAUCGGAAUUACUGGGCGUAAAGCGUGCGCAGGCGGUUUGCUAAGACAGGUGUGAAAUCCCCGGGCUUAACCUGGGAACUGCGCUUGUAACUGGCAAGCUAGAGUGUGGCAGAGGGGGGUGGAAUUCCACGUGUAGCAGUGAAAUGCGUAGAGAUGUGGAGGAACACCGAUGGCGGAGGCAGCCCCCUGGGCUAACACUGACGCUCAUGCACGAAAGCUAGGGGAGCAAACGGG
rnacentral:rRNA from 1 species